AUGUUGGAAUUUUAUUCACCAUGUGUUGGAUUACCUUACCUUCCUUUUGCGGCGAAUCUUCCGAAUGAACGGUGCCUUUCAGUUUGCCGCUUGUCUGUCUGGUCUGCCCCAGGCCAAGGCAUUGCCGCCUUCAUUGUUGUCUCUGUGUUCGUCAGGCUCCUAGGCUGUUGCCUGGAGGUGGAUGCUCCAAUGUUGGUCUACGAAUAUGCAGCGAGGGGGAGUCUACAUGAUGUUCUGUUUGGACUAAGGCGCAUAGAUAUCAUACCUGUGCAUACGCGCCUCGGAAUUGCUGUCGGGUCAGCCGAAGGCCUAGCAUACAUGCAUUCAGCAGUGGAGUGUACGAUACGCCAUGGCGAUGUUAAAUCUGCCAAUAUUCUUCUAGAUGAUAAAUUAAUUCCAAAGGUUUCAGACUUUGGAACGACGAGGCUGCUCGCGAGGGGAAAAUCUGUGAAGACCGAGCGCGUCGUUGGGGAUCUAAAUUACAUAGAUCUAAUAUACAUGGAGCAUGGAGUUGUUACACAGAAGAGCGACGUCUACAGCUUCGGGGUUGUUCUCAUAGAACUGAUCACAAGGAGGCCCGCCAUACACGACGACCGAAGGAGCUAUGUUGCGAGCUUUGUUCAAGUUUCUCUUGAUAAACAAGCAAGGCACUUUUUUUAUCAGGCUAUUACAAGCGAGGGGGACAUUAAGCUUCUGGAAAUGGUCGGCGAGGUCGCCGUGGAGUGUCUUAAACCUAAUCCAGAAGAACGCCUAGACAUGAAACAAGUAGAACAAUGCCUCUUCCAAAUUAUUGGACAGUCCACACAGGAGACAAACUACCAAGGAGAUGUUAGUCCUGCACCGGAUGAUAUUCCCUUGCUCAAGGAUUGCAAGAAUGUGGUAACCACAGACUAG
rnacentral:rRNA from 1 species